CACAUGACUCUCGGCAACGGAUAUCUCGGCUCUCGCAUCGAUGAAGAACGUAGCGAAAUGCGAUACCUGGUGUGAAUUGCAGAAUCCCGUGAACCAUCGAGUCUUUGAACGCAAGUUGCGCCCAAGGCCACUUGGCUAAGGGCACGCCUGCCUGGGCGUCACGC
rnacentral:rRNA from 1 species